GAAAUUUUGAAGUUCAUAUAUAUAUAUUCAUAAAAAAAGAGUAUGUCAGCAGAAGAUGACAUAUUCCUCGCGGAAGCAUCGCCAAUAGCCGACCGAAAAAAAAAUAGUAGAAAAUUACCUUAUGUGUACUCAUAGUGUACUGUAAGAACAAAAUAUCGAUAACUAUGUGUGACGUUUCUAUGGGGGGUGGGGGGGGGGGCUCCAGAGAAACGAACAUAUGACGUUUCUCAUGGACAAAUUCGAUAUGUGAGGCUUCCCUUAGUAUGCAUGGGUAGUUUGAGCUCUUCUGGUAUCUCUAUUCCCAAAUU